UAGUAAAUGAAAAAAAAAUCUUUAGAUUCACAUCCCAAUCUUCAAUCUGAUAGAUGUAACACAACUUGCGUAAACCUUGCGAGUAAAAGACCACCGGAGUUCCGGCGACUCCGUCAUCGGACCACAACUUCAUGUCGCGGUGAACCGUGAUUUUAUUGAAGCUGCUGGAAGAACCCACCGGAUCUCCAAAAAACUGUCGUCUCCGGCGACGGUUAAGCAGCCGGAGAUCGGCGUCGUCGCUGCCGGUAAAUGUGCCGAACUGACAUCGUUGAUGAUGAUGAGGAGGAUGAUUGUAGCGUCGGUUAACCGGGGAGUUGAAUCGCCGGGGGAAGAUUUUCGGGUAAGAGAUUGUUAUGCGUGACGGUAGGAACCGUGGCCGGUGAUGUUGGAGAUAUUGUUACGUCGUCGUUUCAGAAAGUGAUUCUGCCGUUUGAUUUGAAUGUUCCGGCAACGGUGGAAGACACGUGCGGUUUUCCGGUGGACGAUGGGGGAUAAUAGUUUUUGAAACAACACAGAGACUAAGGAAAAAAAAGUGAUUUGGAUAUUGUGUAUUCGAUUCUUAAAUACGUUAAAGGAUGUUGAUGAUGUACCCGGAUUUGAUGUACCCGGAUUUGAUGAACGACAAUAAUCUGAAUCCAAAAGUGAUGUUGAUGAAUUCCUAAUGUUGAAGAUCGCCGGUAAUUUUUUUCGUGAAGAGUCAAUUCGCGCUGACAACGUGAUAAAAACCAAGGAGAAAUAGAGAUAAACUUGAUUCAAUUCUUCACAAUAUUCAACAUUACAAUAUAUAGAGAUAAACAUAGCUGGAAACCCUAAAGCCCAUAAGUAAUGGGUUGGGCGUAAAAGGUCUGGUUUAUAACAUCUUUGUAUUUUAUUACUUAUUUAUAUAAUCUUAUAACAGAAUAACAGCAUGUCGGUGCUGUUUCCAUUCUUAGUCCUUUAUAUGCCUUUAACAUGUUGACCCAUAUGGUUUGUUUUUGGUUUGCCUUGGUCCCUUCCAUUGUUUAUAUGCCUUUUUUUUCUUUACUAUAAAAAAAUAUUAACUCGGUGUGGUAACGUCGAAAGUGUCUGUUUGGUAAAAAUCAGUCGGAACCGAAAUUUUCAGAUUGGGCCACGUUGGAAAGGUAACUCGGAACAGUGGCGUUUAGUUAUAAUCGAAUCCUUGAAGUAGAAGACUUGAAUUGGCUUAUAUCAAAGAGGAUCGCGGGGAUAAUCGAGCGAUGAAGAAGAUGAUCACGAGGAGAUUCGAUUUGUGAAAACCCAUGCAUUUUUCUUGGACUUGAGAAAAUGGAUUUGAUAAGAGGAGAUCCAGACCUAUAACCCAGAUAAAGAUGCAA
rnacentral:lncRNA from 1 species